rnacentral:tRNA from 1 species
UCCCGGAUCGUCCAACUGGCAGGACGCGCCGCUCUGGACGGCGAAAUCGUCAGGUUCGAAUCCUCGUUCGGGAG